UACGUAGGGGGCAAGCGUUGUCCGGAUUUAUUGGGCGUAAAGAGCGUGUAGGCGGCUAGAUAGGUCCGUUGUGAAAACUCGAGGCUCAACCUCGAGACGUCGAUGGAAACCAUCUAGCUAGAGUCCGGAAGAGGAGAGUGGAAUUCCUGGUGUAGCGGUGAAAUGCGCAGAGAUCGGGAGGAACACCCGUAGCGAAGGCGGCACUCUGGGCCGGUACUGACGCUGAGGAGCGAAAGCGUGGGGAGCAAACAGG
rnacentral:rRNA from 1 species